CAUUUCCGGGGCCGGGCUACGUUCUUCUGCUCCGCGGUAGCCUUAGAGGCCGUGUCGGCCCGCGGAAGAGGCUGCGCGGGGACGGUGGCCAGGGCAGGGCGGCCGCGGGCUCCCGGGAGCGCCCCGUUCGCAGCCCGCCCCAGGACAGCUGGGCCCGGCCGCUGCCGGCGUGCUCCGCCCCUCCCCUGCCCGGCUCCAGCGCGGCCCCGGGGGCGCCAGGAUCUCCGCUCGCUCAGGGGAGGGGCGCCGAUCGGCUCCAACGAGGUCAUUGGCUCCAGGGCCCCAGUCGCUUCCUUCUCUGACCCCCGCCCCUCUGUCUCCGGUAAGGCGCUGCCUGCCCCCGGGGCCACCCCCAGGCGGGGCACGUAGUGUAGACGGUCGUGCCUGAGCCAGGCCUGGGCUGUGCGAAGAGCGUGCAAGGAGAGGGGCCGGAGACAGCCGCCGAGGAGCCAGUCAGGAAAGGGCUAGGGCAGAUCUCCGUGGGGAGGAAAGGAGAGGCCCAGGGAGAACCAGAAGCAGCAGCGGAGAGCAGGUCCGGAGCAUCAUGGGGAACCGCAAACGGCUGAUGGUGAGGACUGGCCAGAGCUGGGGAACGACCUGCUGAGUCAGAGCUCAUGCGGGGUCUGCUAGGAAUAACCAGCCUGGUAAGGAGAAGCCAACUGAUCACAAGUCCACGCCCACACUGGGGUAGACAGGAGUAUUGAAUCACCUGUGCCACCACAGCUAUGGACCACCCAUAGAAAUGUGGACAUCUACGAGCAGACUGGAUGGGGGAUGCAGGCAAAGGAGUAUAGCAGGGAUCAGCAGCAGUCCUGCAUGAAGGCAAAGGAACUUCACCAGGAACACCACAAGGCCAGGCUUUUAGUGUGGAGCCUGACUCCAAGGAGGAGGAGAAGGAAGAACAUGCCCUCCAUAGUGCUCUGCGAGAUCCUACAGGCGAGUGCUGCAGCAGCCUGUGAACAAGGGCUUGGCGGGCCAAUAUGACCAAGAGCCUAGA